rnacentral:misc_RNA from 1 species
GAUGAAGAACGCAGCGAAAUGCGAUAAGUAAUGUGAAUUGCAGAAUUCAGUGAAUCAUCGAAUCUUUGAACGCACCUUGCGCUCCUUGUUAUUCCGAGGAGCAUGCCUGUUUGAGUGUCAUGAAAUUCUCAACCUUUUCAGCUUUCUUUGUUGAUCAGGCUUGGAUGUGGGAGUAUGCGGGCUUCUCAGAAGUCGGCUCUCCUGAAAUGCAUUAGCGGGACCUUUGUUGCCUGGCUUUGGUGUGAUAAUUAUCUACGCCAUUGUAGUCAAGCAGCUUAAAAUGAGGUUUCAGCUUCUAACCGUCUCCCCUGAGACAACUUUUUGACAAUUUGACCUCAAAUCAGGUAGGACUACCCGCUGAACUUAAGCAUAUCAAUAAGCGGAGGA